GACGGAGGGUGCUAGCGUUGUUCGGAAUGACUGGGCGUAAAGGGCGCGUAGGCGGCCGCUUGCGUCGGAUGUGAAAGCCCGGGGCUCAACCCCGGAACGGCAUCCGAUACGGGGCGGCUCGAGACCGAGAGAGGUGAGUGGAAUACCCAGUGUAGAGGUGAAAUUCGUAGAUAUUGGGUGGAACACCGGUGGCGAAGGCAGCCAUCUGGACCGACACUGACGCUGAGGCGCGAAAGCGUGGGGAGCAAACAGG
rnacentral:rRNA from 1 species